GCCUAAUAACAGAUAGCAUUAGCUUGACCUCCCCCUUUAAAUAAACGAUGCACGGUGGCUGCCUACCAAGCACUGGGAAUCUCCCCAGAGAGGAUAGACAGGUUAAAAAGGUGAGAGAGAGGCUCGGCGAUGAUAAGGGCUUCAACCAUAAAGAAGAAAGGAUCUAAACCAUCUGACCCAGAUGUUUUUUUUGGGGGUCAAGCUUAAGGAGCUCCUUUAGCACCUCAGACUGCAGGGAGAAGCUGUGUAGGGUGGCAAGGAAAAAAAGAGGGAGGAGCAUUAGGGCUUGUCGAAUUAGAAGGGCUGGGAGAUGAAGAAGUGUUGGACGGGCAAGGAGGCAUGGCUAAGUCAAAUAGGAUUCUUGACUUAAUGAAGUGGUGAUUAGUCUAGGUCCAAAAGGCUUCUUAACAGCUUCUACCCCCAAGCCAUAAGACUCCUGAACAGCUAAUCAAAUGGCUACCCAGACUAUUUGCAGGUCAUGAAGGAAGGUUUGCUCAUUAAAAGUUUUUAGCAAGCGUCUAUAAUAAAUAAGGACAGGUUGUUUAACUGAGCAUUACAAACACAGGCCUUUAAACAGUGAUCACUAAGGUCACUACAUAAAACACCAGACUAAUGCCUAUCGGAUAUGAUCCGAGAGAGAUUUAGGGAGCCCCGUGAUUUUAGGAUCCUUAUGGGCCCUGGUCAAAUGUAGUGCACUAAAAAGGGAGCCAUUGGGGACACAAACACACACUGUCUCAGUGAGGGAAGUAUUGGUGUCUACAGUGGUGAUCAACUCUCUCUCUCAGACUCGGUUCUUCUCUGUCACUGUCUCAAUUAUCCUCCUGCACAUAGAAGGAAGGGAGCUAUAGAAUUCUCCUGCAACUCUGCAAGUUUCAUUUCGAAUUCUGGAGCCCGGCAGCGAAGCCAAGGGAAACUCUCACGGCUGCUUGUGUUCGUCAAGAGUAUAUGUGUGUUUUCUGUUUGCUACAUGUGUGUGUCUGCUGUGUGUGUGUACGACUGCAUCUUUAUUCCAAUGUAAUCAUCCCCUCAUCCACUCCAAAUGGAAAAGUGAAUCUCAGUGCAGUGAGGGAGCGGAGGAGAGGCGUAGAGAGAGGCUUUAGAAUCUGUUUAUGAUAUUAUGGAGAUAGAGUCACCUCCGCAUAAUUCAUGAC
rnacentral:lncRNA from 13 species